AAUCCCCUGCGGUGUUCGUGGAAGUCGUAGAUUCCUUGAACCAAUGCUUGAGAGCAUGGUUGCUGACGACGAAUCCGCUGUGCGAGCGCCCCUAGCCGGGCGCACCUGAUGCGGACGUAGAAGCGACCACCCUGAACCCCAGGUUCAGGAUGCCCGGCCGACACGGCACAAGCGGGGGGCCA
rnacentral:other from 1 species